rnacentral:rRNA from 1 species
GUGAGGAAUAUUGGUCAAUGGGCGCAAGCCUGAACCAGCCAUGCCGCGUGCAGGAAGACGGUCCUAUGGAUUGUAAACUGCUUUUAUUUGGGAAUAAACUCCGGUACGUGUACCGGCCUGAAGGUACCAAAUGAAUAAGCACCGGCUAACUCCGUGCCAGCAGCCGCGGUAAUACGGAGGGUGCAAGCGUUAUCCGGAAUCAUUGGGUUUAAAGGGUCCGCAGGCGGUCUUAUAAGUCAGUUGUGAAAGCCUACAGCUCAACUGUAGAACUGCCAUUGAUACUGUAGGACUUGAAUUCGAUCGAAGUGGGCGGAAUGUGACAUGUAGCGGUGAAAUGCUUAGAUAUGUCACAGAACACCGAUAGCGAAGGCAGCUCACUAGGUCUGGAUUGACGCUCAGGGACGAAAGCGUGGGGAGCAAACAGGAUUAGAAACCCUUGUAGUCC